rnacentral:rRNA from 1 species
GACGAACGCUGGCGGCGUGCCUAACACAUGCAAGUCGAACGGAAAGGCCCUGCUUUUGUGGGUUGCUCGAUUGGCGAACGGGGGAGUAACACGUGAGUAUCCUGCCCUUGACUUUGGGAUAACUCCAGGAAACUGGGGCUAAUACCGCAUAGGAGCUCCUGCUGCAUGGUGGGCGAUGGAAAGUUUCGGCGGUUGGGGAUGGACUCGCGGCUUAUCAGCUUGUUGGUGGGGUAGUGGCUUACCAAGGCUUUGACGGGUAGCCGGCCUGAGAGGGUGACCGGCCACAUUGGGACUGAGAUACGGCGCAGACUGCAACGGGAGGCAGCAGUGGGAAGUAUUGCACAGUGAGCGGAAGCGUGAUGCAGCAACGCCGCGUGCGGGAUGACGUCCUUCGGGUUGUGAACCGCUUUCGCAUGUGACGAAGCGUGAGUGACGGUAAUGGGUAAAGAAGCACCGGCUAACUACGUG